rnacentral:rRNA from 1 species
AAUGGGCGAAAGCCUGACGCAGCGAUGCCGCGUGCGGGAUGAAGGCCUUCGGGUUGUAAACCGCUUUCAGCAGGGACGAAAUUGACGGUACCUGCAGAAGAAGCCCCGGCCAACUACGUGCCAGCAGCCGCGGUAAUACGUAGGGGGCGAGCGUUGUCCGGAUUUAUUGGGCGUAAAGAGCUCGUAGGCGGUUCGAUAAGUCGGAUGUGAAAUCUCCACGCUCAACGUGGAGAGGCCAUUCGAUACUGUCGUGACUCGAGUCCGGUAGGGGAGUGUGGAAUUCCCGGUGUAGCGGUGAAAUGCGCAGAGAUCGGGAGGAACACCCGUAGCGAAGGCGGCACUCUGGGCCGGUACUGACGCUGAGGAGCGAAAGCGUGGGGAGCAAA